ACAACCUCCGCAAUCACAGACUCUUCUAUCUCGUAUCAAAGAAGCCAAAUAUAAUGUGGGUCUGGCUAUAAUUGACACCUGGAAAGCUAAAAGAGCUAAAACGUCAGUACAAUUUACCAUCUCUCGUGGUGUUGAAGAAUCGUUGUUUCGAAGUUGUAAGGAGAUGAGAUGCGAAAAUAAAAACAUAAUAAACUGAACGCCGAUAGGUGUUUGUUGUAUUGUCUCAGACAGAGUUCACUGGAAAUUCUGUGUGGAGCUUGUGCAAACAACGUGAAGAGAAAAAUUAUAAGUCAACUGUGCAUUUUCAACCCAAAUCUUCAGUAGGAACUCAGGCCCAUAUUGUACUAGAAAUCUUAUCAAACAAAGAAGUACUACGGAAAGGUAUGCUAAUGAUCUUUAGAAGACACUUCAGUUUAUGCAUUUCUCUUGACCUAAACCUUAAUAUGUAGUAUAUGUUAUUAUUUGGAGGUGAAGCUGACAGAUAUUUGGACUUGUAGGGUGACAUUAUAUGUGAUAUUGGUUGGUGCAUAUCCCUCCGAUGAUCCUAAUGAUACACGAAAUUUCAGGAGAUUAAGCAUGAAUUCUUGUUCAUCUUUAAGUUAUAGUUGGCUUUGUUUUGCCCUCUUUGACUCAAUCCUCAUGUUUUCAGAUGGUACACUUCAUGUCGUGAUAAGUGAUUAUUAGAUAAUUACAACAACAAUAACUACCCAGUAAAAUCCCACAAAGUGGGGUCCGGGAAGGGUAAUGUGUACGCAGACCUUACCCCUACCCCGAUAGGGCAGAGAGGCUGUUUCUGAUAGACCCUGAUUACUAGAUAAUUGGAGGAAUAAUAUUAGCAUGUUACAUGAGGAACAAGUUCAUGCUGAUUAUUGCAUCUAGCUCUGUUUCGGAUGAGCAAAUUUUCAGCUUUCCUCUUGCGGCUUUGACUGCACAGCUGUCAAUUAAGUUUCAUAUUGUUUGUAGGAAUAGAAGUAAAUGUCAUUUAAGAUUAAACUUAUGCUUUCCAGUAGAAGGGAAAUUCCAUUGCUUUACUACUCUUAGGAAUGAGAUGAACAACAACAUUCUGUCAUAUUUCAGCCCU